ensembl:lncRNA
GGACUUAACAAAAGGUUACUGGCAAGUACCCCUCUCCACUUCGGCAAAAGAGAAGACCGCCUUCAGUACUCCAUCAGGUCACUGGCAUUACCAGGUUUUACCUUUCAGCCUGCACGGGGCACCAGCCACUUUCCAAAAGCUGAUGGAUCAUCCACUCUGAGAGCUGGUAGGAUCAUUUACUUCGCCUGAGGGGGGUGCUUAAUACAUCAGGCUGGACUAACUGCUAACCCUCAGAAAUACCAUCUGGGACUUUCAGAGGCACGGUACCUGGGUUAUCGAAUUGGAAGGGGACUGAUUGAACCACAAGAGGGAAAUGUAAAGGCCAUCAGGGAGUAUCCCCAGCCCACUACAAAGAAACAGGUACGGGCCUUCCUAGGUUUAGCUGGAAAUUAUCAAUGUUUUUGUCACACCCAGGGGCUGGCUAUGCUUUGACUAAGCCACACCCCUUCUCAACUUCCACCUCGAGGAGGUCCCCAAAGCCAACCCAAUGGCCAAACAACACGAGAACAAGUAAGUGAUAAAACAAUCUUUAUUUAAAUAUUUAAAAAUAGCUUGGGGAAUAGGGAAAGGGCAAUUAAAACUAAACUCUGACUCGGCCCUCCAGAUGGGCUAUGGCCGGGAAGAGGUCAGGGAGCAAGGGGGCCACGGGGAUCCGGGGCGUGGGACUCGGGCCCCGGCCUGAGUCUUAGGUAUCCGUAGCGCCCUCCUUCUUCCUCCUCUUCGCUGAAUACAGCUCACGGUAAGUACUGGUUCACACAGUUCGUUCUCGGGGUGCUCACUCUCUUUCUCUUCCUCCACAGGCAACGGCUGGGACACAAAGGCACAGUUAAUUCGGCUUGGUUUUGCUCUCACCUCUUCGCUGAUUGCAGCUCACAGUAAGUACUGGUUCACACAGUUCGUUCUCUGGGUGCUCACUCUCUUUCUCUUUCUCCACAGGCAACGGCUGGGACACACAGGCACAGUUAGUUCAGCUUGGUUUUGCUCUCACCUCUUCGCUGAUUACAGCUCACAGUAAGUACUGGUUCACACAGUUCGUUCCUUGGGUGCUCACUCGCUUUCUCUUUCUCCACAGGCAGCGGCGUAAGUACAGGUUUCCUCGGUCUCUCCUCGUGUUACCCACUCUCUCUCCUUUUCUCUCCACAGGUAUCAACUUGGGCACAAUAGCACAGUUAGUUUGCUUUGAAUGGCUCUCACCUCUGGGCUGGACACAGCGUACUGUAAGUACAGGGUUCGCUCUAUUCCUCCUCGUGUUAUUCCCUCUCUCUCCUUUUCUCUCCACAGGUAUCAACUUGGACACAAAGCACAGUUACUCUGCUUUGGAUGGCUUUCACCUCUGGGCUGGACACAGCGUACCGUGCUAUCUCCGGAGAUCUGAAGCACGCUCACAACAUAUACUGUACUGAACUAGGCUAGGACCAGCAGUCUCCUUGUCCUCCCGCGACGAAGUGCGUGAAGGCGGGGGUUUAUCUGACAGGACACACGGCAAUACACAGCAGCCCACAGCAAUAUACAACACCACGUCAAAAUUAUAGGUUUUCACAGCACGAAGACUCACCCACCACACUCAGUGUACGAAAAGGACACCCGUCUUCCUUCACUUCGCUUGGUUCGGAUCUGGCGAUGGAAUAUGCGGCCUAGCUAGUGAUGUCGUCGUUGUGACUACUUCAAUAAGUAUUCCUUCGGCUCUCCCACCACGCUAUAUUAGGGGUAGGGCCGCCCUCCUCCUCCUGGAGAGAUCUACACAACGCCAGGUCAAUAUACAGGGCACUUUCGACUGGCUCUUAGUACUCACAUCAAUGCCGCUUCCAAUCCCCUUUUUCACGUCGUCUCAGUUCGCCGUAUAAUCCGUUCACUUCUCAACCUUUAAGGUUCGCGAUGUCUUCACAAUCAUACAAUUCCAGCCUGAGGGAGAGAGAGAGUUAGACAGCCACCAGCAGCGCACCAAGACGGGCACAACACAGUGCUUCACACACACCAGAAAGAGCUCCCAGACUGUGAAAUAACUUGGCCUUAAGUACUGCCUUGUCCAGCGUAUCCUCCAAUCACCAACCGCUGUCCCUAACUAGGCACAGGUGCAUCGAAUUCCCUGAUUUUCCUUCUUACGGCGCUACCGGAAGUUCCGGUGUUCUGUUUUUCCGGUCCGGGCGGAAACACUUUGGUUCCGCCCCUAAAGAUCGUCACCUUGUGACAUUUUAUUCCAGAUUUCUCAUCUCUGGCUUGCCACCUUACAGACCUGACGAAGAAGGGCCAACCUGACAAAGUACAGUGGAAUGCUACAACUGAGAGAGCCUUCCGAAGACUACAAACAGCACUGACCACAACGUCAAUGCUACAUGUCUCAGAAUUCUCCCUGCCAUUCAUACUCCAAACAGAUGCUUCUGACACA